AUUAAUCGGGUCUGUUGCUCCGUGUAGCUGAAAUCAACCGGUUUCUCACCUUGAGGAGCCUCCUCAGAAGCACCAUGCAUCCCCUCCUUCUUCGACUCCUUGUAUCCUCCACCCUCACCCUGGUCUGCCUCCUUUGGCAUGCUAAGGUCUGCAAGAUAACAGAUGACGUUUAAAGUUGCAAAUGCGCAGUUAUGUGAAACGCUGCAAAAGUGCUGAAAGUCAGGACAAUGCCCAGCGAUUGCAGUAUAUGCGACACAUUCUAGCUAUACAUGCAGGACUGUUACAUCAGUGAAGGGUGUUUGUGGUGGGAUUUUCAUGUCACAGUAAAAAACAGAAGGAGAGCUGCAGGUUUGUUGUGAUGUACAGAUGAUGACAUCACCUAGACGGAAGGUGGGGACGAGCGCGAUGCUAAGAUGACUUGAGGCGGUGUGCACGACAGAGGUAAACAAAACCUCACGGCACUGUGUCUGCCAUUGAGUGUAAUCUGCGGAAACGUUACUAACCUUGCAGUCGUCAGCCCCGAGGAAAGAGACGGGUUAGCUGUGAAGCUCAACUUGUCUGGCUAACGUUAGCGUUAGUCAGCGUGAACACAACAACAACAACAAAGCCUUGUGACACAGCUAAUCCUUCAUAGCCUCUGUCAUGGCGGAGUUAUCACUGUCACUGUUAUUCACAACUUCACCACUGCCAGACACCGUCUUCAACAGAAGGAAGGCUUUGUUUCAUCCCAGAAAACUCGGGCUUUUUAAUGCCGCAGCCCUGCACUGACGGGGUCGCCGCUAACCAAGCGACUCUUCCUGUUUUGGGUGGAGCUAACAUGACGUAAGAGCCGAGCCCUCUCGUGCACACAACAAACACAAAGGAUAUCAUCACAUUAUCUUCAAUAUCAGCAAGCACUGAGGGUGUACUCCCGAUGUAAACCGGGUUUGGCUCCAGCCCCCAGCGGACCCUGUACGCAGCGUAAGCGGUUGACGAUGGAUGGAUGGAUGGAUUUCGAACAUGAUAAAUAAAGAAGAAAAAACACAAAGCUGAAGGUGCUGGAAAACGUGGGAAUUGCUGGGAAGAAUAUUAGGCUAUUUCCUUUCUUCAUCUGCUCUAGAAGUACAUAGAAGUAUUGAGCCUACAACGCAUACAGCAGCCAGUAUGAGCACAUUGGAUCAAAGUCUCACACCACCCCACUAUCUGCAGUCAGUACUCAAUAGUGUGUACACUCAACAAACAAAUUUCUUUCCGCAGUAUUCCUUGGGGUCAAUAUUAAUCAUCUCAACAUUAUGAAUAAGUUAUAAUUUUGAUUCAAUAGACCUCACAUUUGGCAAGAAAAGUCUAGAUCAAGCUGCUCAAACGUUACCAGUAUAUAGAGAUUUCUUAUACAAUUCAUUUUCAACUUAAUAAAUCAAGUUUUCCUGUGAUGGACUGGCGACAUGUCCAGUGUCAUAUGGGACUAACUCCUACCACCCACGAUCCUGCACAGAGACGCGAGUAUAGAGAAUGAAUGGAUUUAUAUUUAAGAGAAACACAGUGAAGAAUAUAUCAACUGUUUAUUUUGUUCAAUAACACAAAUACAGUGCAAUCAUACCUCCACAAAGAUUUAUUGUCAGUCAUAAACAUUUCUUUGAAGUCAGUCAGCUUGUGUCUAACUGACCAAGUAUUUACCCAAAAUGUAAAAGGCAAAAACGGCUGUAGAAGAUAUCAGAGACACAUAGCCUAUGCUAAAUGCAAUCUAUAGCACUCGAACAGCAGAUUCCCCAAAGUACUGGAUAAAUAUCUCUGGGUGGGCUUGGUAAAACUGUCCAAGUAGGCGCUUUCUCUCCUUGGCAGACAUCUUGGUGUCCAGCUGGAUGCUGUUUAGCAGAGCCCACAGUUCCUGGUUGGUGGACUUCUUUGUAGUAUCAGCGUGAGUCCUGCUGGAGACCUGCUGACAGAAUGUAUAGCCUGAAGGACAGAAGAGAAAAAACAUAAUGUUAACAGGGAGUGUUUGUUCAUUAUUAUAGAAACCAGGUAACUGUCACUCACAAAUCGCAACAACUGGGACUUCAAACAGCAAUAAAUUAUUAGUUUUAGCCACAACACUAACAAUAUUAACAUAUCACCAUAUAAGAUUGUUAAGGGAAAUGUGUUAGUAAGCACAAGCUCACUUCUAGCAGUUGGAUUUUCUGGCCAAAUAUAUGGUCAGUAUUAUACUGUAUUUCAUUAGCUCUGUGCCUGUACUCUACAAAAUGACAAGAUUAAAGUAAUCUAAAAUUUAA